rnacentral:other from 1 species
AGAUUCCUGGGAUGUGCGUGGUACUUUAUAUUUUGACCCUACGUUUACAAAUCGGGAGAGGUUUUAAGUCUUUGGUCGGAAUGCCAGGCCGCAUUUAUUACCGUUUUUAACGGUAGCAGCGGACGGCAGGAAAACCAAUCACCUCACCCACCUAGCAGGGAGCUAGGAGUCAGAAAUGAAGGAAACGGCAUCCCGGGAUUUUA